rnacentral:rRNA from 1 species
UUAAGCUACAAAGAGCAUAUGGUGGAUGCCUUGGCACUAGGCGCCGAUGAAGGACGUGAUAAGCUGCGAUAAGCUACGGUGAGCCGCACGUAGGCUGUGACCCGUAGAUGUCCGAAUGCGGAAACGCACUGGCUGUAAUGAGCCAGUAUCAUAACACGAAUAAAAUAGUGUUAUGAGGGGAACCCAGGGAACUGAAACAUCUAAGUACCUGGAGGAAAAGAAAGUAAAACAACGAUUGCGGGAGUAGUGGCGAGCGAAACUGCAAGAGCCCAAACCCGAGGCAGAAAUGUCACGGGGGUUCGGACCUCAUAAAGCUACGAACAAUGGUAGGAGAAGACGGCUGGAAAGUCGCGCGAAACAGGGUAAUAGCCCCGUAUCUUAAACCAGAAUGAGAGCGAGAGUGUUCCAGAGUAGCACAGGACACGUGAAAUCCGGUGUGAAUGUGGGAGGACCAUCUCCUAAGGCUAAAUACGACCUAGUGACCGAUAGCGUAUAGUACCGUGAGGGAAAGGUGAAAAGAACCCCGGGAGGGGAGUGAAAUAGAAUCUGAAACCGUAUGUUUACAAGCAGAGGAAGCACGAACGGACUUGUCCUAGGUGCGACCUCGUACCUUUUGUAGAAUGGGCCGGCGAGUUACGCGGUGUAGCGAGGUUAAGCAAUUCUAAUUGCGGAGCCGAAGCGAAAGCGAGUCUGAAAAUGGCGAAUAGUUGCAUAGCGUAGACCCGAAACCAGAUGAUCUAUCCAUGAGCAGGAUGAAGCAGUGGUAACACACUGUGGAGGUCCGAACACACGCCUGUUGAAAUAGUCGGUGAUGACUUGUGGAUAGCGGAGAAAUUCCAAUCGAAUCUGGAUAUAGCUGGUUCUCCCCGAAAUAGCUUUAGGGCUAGCCUCUGCAUUUUAGAUUACUGGGGGUAGAGCACUGAAUGGGCUAGGGGCCUUCGCGGGUUACCGAACCUUAUCAAACUUCGAAUACCAGAUAAUUGAUGGCAGGGAGUCAGACAGUGUGAGAUAAGUUUCAUUGUCAAAACGGAAACAGCCGAGAUCUACAACUAAGGUCCCAAAGUAUAGGUUAAGUGGAAAAGGAUGUGUCAUUGCUAAAACAACCAGGAUGUUGGCUUAGAAGCAGCCAUUCAUUUAAAGAGUGCGUAAUAGCUCACUGGUCGAGUGGUAGUGCGCCGAAGAUAAACGGGGCUAAAACCUAACACCGAAGUUUAGGGAUUAGGAGCAAUCCUAAUCGGUAGGGGAGCAAUGUUUACGGGCUGAAGCCAUACCGGAAGGGGUGGUGGACUGUAAACAAGAGAGAAUGCCGGCAUGAGUAGCGAGAGUGUGGCGAGAAUCCACACCGUCGAAAGUCUUAGGUUUCCUGGGGAAGGUUCGUCCGCCCAGGGUAAGUCGGGAACUAAGCUGAGGCCGAAAGGCGUAGGCGAUGACCAACUGGUAGAUAUUCCAGUACCACCGAUUAACGAUAAAGAGCUGAUGCAGUGACACAGGAGGAUAGCGAAUCCGCGGUUAUGGAUACCUGCGGCCAAAUCAUGAGGGGUCUAAAUAGUAAAGUACGUUUAGAGCGCACCCUAGGUGAUGAUGGGGAGUGAAAAUUAGUAAUGAAGUUCGUGAAUUCACACUGGCGAGAAAAGCUGCUAGGUAGUUAAUAGGUGCCCGUACCGCAAACCGACACAGGUAGACGAUGAGAGAAUCAUAAGACGAACGGGAUAACCCUUGUUAAGGAACUCGGCAAAAUGACCCCGUAACUUCGGGAGAAGGGGUGCCUGCGCAAGCAGGCCGCAGUGAAUCGGCCCAAGCGACUGUUUAUCAAAAACACAGGUAUCUGCUAAAUCGCAAGAUGAAGUAUAGGUGCUGACGCCUGCCCGGUGCUGGAAGGUUAAGAGGAGAAGUUAGCCGCAAGGCAAAGCUUUGAAUUUAAGCCCCAGUGAACGGCGGCCGUAACUAUAACGGUCCUAAGGUAGCGAAAUUCCUUGUCAGGUAAGUUCUGACCCGCAUGAAUGGCGUAACGACUUGGGCACUGUCUCAACAGGGGACCCGGCGAAAUUGUAGUAUACGUGAAGAUGCGUAUUACCCGCGACUAGACGGAAAGACCCCGUAGAGCUUUACUGUAAUUUGGCAUUGAAUUUCGGAGUUUGAUGUACAGGAUAGGUGGGAGACUUUGAAGCAGAGGCGUCAGCCUUUGUGGAGUCAACCUUGGGAUACCACCCUUUGGACUUUGAGAUUCUAACGUUGUGCAGUGAUCCUGGCAGCGGACAGUGUCUGAUGGACAGUUUGACUGGGGCGGUCGCCUCCUAAAGAGUAACGGAGGCGCUCAAAGGUUCCCUCAGGAUAGUUGGAAACUAUCUUUUAGAGUGUAAAGGCAAAAGGGAGCUUAACUGCGACACCUACAAGUGGAGCAGAUACGAAAGUAGGACUUAGUGAUCCGGCGGUUGAGUAUGGAAUUGCCGUCGCUUAACGGAUAAAAGUUACCUCGGGGAUAACAGGCUUAUUCCCCCCAAGAGUUCACAUCGACGGGGGAGUUUGGCACCUCGAUGUCGGCUCGUCACAUCCUGGGGCUGUAGUAGGUCCCAAGGGUUCGGCUGUUCGCCGAUUAAAGUGGCACGCGAGCUGGGUUCAGAACGUCGUGAGACAGUUCGGUCCCUAUCUAUCGUGGGCGUAGGAUAUUUGAGAGGAGCUGCUCCUAGUACGAGAGGACCGGAGUGGACAUACCAAUGGUGCACCAGUUGUCGUGCCAACGGCAUAGCUGGGUAGCGAUGUAUGGAAAGGAUAAAUGCUGAAAGCAUCUAAGCGUGAAACCUGCCUCAAGAUUAGAUAUCCCAUAACAUAAGUUAGUAAGACCCCUUGUAGACUACAAGGUUGAUAGGUCAGAGGUGUAAGCACAGUAAUGUGUUCAGCUGACUGAUACUAAUAGGUCGAGGGCUUGAU